UACGUAGGGUGCAAGCGUUGUCCGGAAUUAUUGGGCGUAAAGAGCUCGUAGGCGGUUUGUCGCGUCUGCUGUGAAAACCCGAGGCUCAACCUCGGGCCUGCAGUGGGUACGGGCAGACUAGAGUGUGGUAGGGGAGACUGGAAUUCCUGGUGUAGCGGUGAAAUGCGCAGAUAGUCAGGAGGAACACCGGUGGCGAAGGCGACUACCUGGACCAGCACUGACACUGGAGGCAACGAAAGCGUGGGGAGCAAACAGG
rnacentral:rRNA from 1 species